rnacentral:miRNA from 1 species
UGUGGUUAAGUUGGUGCA